GGAGAGGCCAGCCGACGGCAGGCGACGGCACCUGGCUCGAGUCCAGGCGGUCUCAGUGAUGGGCCUUGGGAGUUCGAUCCUCCCCCUCUCCG
rnacentral:tRNA from 1 species